rnacentral:lncRNA from 1 species
CAUGAAAAUGGGACAAGUGGGUGGACAAUGCUGGGAAUACUGCCCGAGUGAAGGGGUUGCGGCUAAAGGAAGGAUAAGGGAGGAUAAGUAGGCAGAGGCAGAAUUAUACAGCGAUAUGAAGAUGGUGACAAGAAGCUUAAAUAUGACAUGUUAACUGUUAGGGAGCCAGUGGAGGGAUACAAAGAAGAGUGAGAUGACCAAGCAAACAGGCAAGGAAAGAGGACCUGGCAGAUGGAUUUUUUUUAGAGACUGAAGGGGGCCAAGAUUUAAGCUAGCUCGUGCCACGGGAAUCCAACGACCCUGAUUAGAGGCAUAGUUUAGGAACAGCUGCUCAGUCACUGAAGUUCAGGAGAACAAAACACUGCAGUUUUUGAAACUCAGGGACUCAAGAAAACUGACACAGCAUUUAGCUCUCGGUUUAAGUCAGAGUCCCACCAAAAAUGCACCUACCUUAAACAGCGUAGGUUUGGCUCCCAACUUUCUGAGCAGUUCUAGGAUGAGUUUGAGUGGAUCUGGGGCUCAAUAUGAAGCAAAACCCAUAGGCUCUUAGGAAGGUGAGUUAUUGUCUUAAGUCAAAUUAGACUAACCGUAGCUGCUUACAAAGAAAAAUAUAGUGGAGCUGAACCAAAACCAAACUGGACCCCAUUGCACCAGUGGGGCUCUGGUGUCAAGGGGCAAUUUGUAGCCAAGGAAGAACAGGAAGUGUUCAGGCCAGCGCUCUCCUCUUGGAGUGGGAGUGGAGUUCCACCAGCAGAAGGCAAUUUAAAGUGAAUUUCUUAGAAUCACAGAAUA